CAUAUAACUCUCUCUCUCUCUCUUUCUCUCACUCACUUCUCAGCCUUUUGUUCUUUCUUUUUAUUCACAGCCAAUCAAUUCCAGCGUUCCUCGCUUUCUCUCUCCUAUUUUCUCUCCAUAUUUGCCAUCUAAUUUGCUUAUGGGUACCUUGUUUUUCUUCUUUUCCUUCUCCCUUCUGUAUUAAUUUUAUUUUAUUUUCUUUCUUUCUCCGAUGCUUGCGGAGGUGAGAGAUGAGGAGAGGAGGAGAGAUUUGGGAUUGAGACACAAGACAGAAGGUGUUGCGUUGGAGAUUUUUGUGUUUUGUUUUUGUUUAGUGUUGCGUGGACGUUAUUAUAGUGCUGUGUGUGAAUGCAAUUAUUAUAUGUAACUCGGUUUGACCGCUGUCAUCUUUUUUAAUAUCACUUACCAUUAUUAUUUUCAUAAUAUUCAAAAUUUUAUUUUUAUUUCAAUUUAUAUAUUUUAUUUAAUUUAUAAUUAAUAUAAAUUUAAAAUAUAUUUAAAAAUAAGAUAAUAUAAUAAAAUUAUAGUGUCAAAGAAUUAUUAUUAGAUAUUAUGAAAACAGUAUAGUAUAUAUUGAUUUCAGUAAGAGAAAUUGACAAUUUCCAUUUAAUUUUUAACAAUAUUUUUAUAGUUUACAAUAGCUUAUAAAGAGCAAAAAGUGGGUUCUUCACUUGCUUUUGCUCAAACCUAAAUGAGCGUCACAAUCAUAAUGAAAGUCUAGAUGCUUUCUUUUCCAAACUUUAAACUGCAUUUGCCACAAAGCAAACAUGUUCUUGAUCCAAAACCACGAACUGUCUUUUCUUUUUCUUUUUACACCAGACGAACAUUUGAAUACCACAGUAUCCAUCAUCAAUCACAACAAAAAUUAGAAAGAAUAUGAUCAUCAUUGGAUAUGGGCAAUGGGGUUAUUAUCCAACCAAGAAAAUCAAUGAUCCCUUGAAGGCAUCUUCAAUAGUUUUAAACAAACCCAAAGAUUAUUAGCCAAAGAGCCUUAAAAAGCAAACAAGACUAAAUUGGGGGGAAAAGAAACAACAAAAACAUAAAACAAAACAGAUCUGAAAUAGAGAGACAGACCUUCUUGUGAGGAUCCAUAGUGGCAGGUGUAGGGGCAAUAGGGAAUUGGAUUCUUUUGGGUACCCUGAUGAGCUUUAAGCCAGAGAAAUCAAAGUCUUCAACAAUUGUAAGCUGCUGUAGAUGUUGGCCUUCAUGGCUGCUGCUGCUACUACUAAUAUUGAUAUUGUUGCUCUUCUUGUUGUUAGAAUCAAAAUUAUUGUUGUUGUUGUUAUUAUUAUUAUUACUAUUAUUAGUAAAAGAAUGGCGUUGAAACCAGCGACGCACACCGUCCACGAGUGUACUACUUCCCCCCAUAUAACUCUCUCUCUCUCUCUUUCUCUCACUCACUUCUCAGCCUUUUGUUCUUUCUUUUUAUUCACAGCCAAUCAAUUCCAGCGUUCCUCGCUUUCUCUCUCCUAUUUUCUCUCCAUAUUUGCCAUCUAAUUUGCUUAUGGGUACCUUGUUUUUCUUCUUUUCCUUCUCCCUUCUGUAUUAAUUUUAUUUUAUUUUCUUUCUUUCUCCGAUGCUUGCGGAGGUGAGAGAUGAGGAGAGGAGGAGAGAUUUGGGAUUGAGACACAAGACAGAAGGUGUUGCGUUGGAGAUUUUUGUGUUUUGUUUUUGUUUAGUGUUGCGUGGACGUUAUUAUAGUGCUGUGUGUGAAUGCAAUUAUUAUAUGUAACUCGGUUUGACCGCUGUCAUCUUUUUUAAUAUCACU
rnacentral:lncRNA from 1 species